rnacentral:rRNA from 1 species
GAUGAACGCUAGCUACAGGCUUAACGCAUGCAAGUCGAGGGGUAACGAGAGGAAAGCUUGCUUUCCUUGUCGACGACCGGCGCACGGGUGAGUAACGCGUAUCCAACCUGCCCCCAACUAGGGAAUAACCUUGCGAAAGUAAGACUAAUACCCUAUAAUUUCCUCAGAUGCCAUCUGACGAGGAAUAAAGAUUUAUCGGUUGUGGAUGGGGAUGCGUCUGAUUAGCUUGUUGGCGGGGUAACGGCCCACCAAGGCAACGAUCAGUAGGGGUUCUGAGAGGAAGGUCCCCCACAUUGGAACUGAGACACGGUCCAAACUCCUACGGGAGGCAGCAGUGAGGAAUAUUGGUCAAUGGGCGGAAGCCUGAACCAGCCAAGUAGCGUGCAGGAUGACGGCCCUAUGGGUUGUAAACUGCUUUUAUACGGGAAUAAAGUUAGCCACGUGUGGUUAUUUGUAGGUACUGUAUGAAUAAGGACCGGCUAAUUCCGUGCCAGCCGCCGCCGUAA